rnacentral:rRNA from 1 species
GCGGCGUGCUUAACACAUGCAAGUCGAACGAUGAAGCCUUUCGGGGUGGAUUAGUGGCGAACGGGUGAGUAACACGUGGGCAAUCUGCCCUUCACUCUGGGACAAGCCCUGGAAACGGGGUCUAAUACCGGAUAACACUCUGUCCCGCAUGGGACGGGGUUAAAAGCUCCGGCGGUGAAGGAUGAGCCCGCGGCCUAUCAGCUUGUUGGUGGGGUGAUGGCCUACCAAGGCGACGACGGGUAGCCGGCCUGAGAGGGCGACCGGCCACACUGGGACUGAGACACGGCCCAGACUCCUACGGGAGGCAGCAGUGGGGAAUAUUGCACAAUGGGCGAAAGCCUGAUGCAGCGACGCCGCGUGAGGGAUGACGGCCUUCGGGUUGUAAACCU